rnacentral:rRNA from 1 species
UACGGAGGAUGCAAGCGUUAUCCGGAUUCAUUGGGUUUAAAGGGUGCGCAGGUUGGAAUGUAAGUCAGUGGUGAAAUACUGCCGCUUAACGGUAGAACUGCCAUUGAUACUGCGUUUCUUGAGUAUGGUUGAGGUAGGUGGAAUGUGUUGUGUAGCGGUGAAAUGCAUAGAUAUGACACAGAACGCCAAUUGCGAAGGCAGCUUACUAAGCCAUUACUGACGCUGAGGCACGAAAGCGUGGGGAUCGAACAGGAUUAGAUACCCUGGUAGUCCACGCCGUAAACGAUGUUCACUCGCUGUUUGCGAUACACAGCAAGCGGCUGAGCGAAAGCAUUAAGUGAACCACCUGGGGAGUACGAUCGCAAGGUUGAA